CUCUGGUUGAGGAACCUCCUUGGACACAGGCUCCCUCACAUGGCAACGGGCAGCCAUGUAUCCUUUGGGCCCUGGAGACCACAGGUUGUAACCGGAGCAAGAGCGCAAGGCAGAAGCCUAGAAACGGAAGCAGGGAUCAUGAAAGAAAACUCUGGCUCUCUUUCCAAGGUUUGCCUGUCCUGGACAUUUUUGCUGAAUGGUGUCACACGUGUGGCCUUUUGUGACUGGCUUCAUGAAAUCCACUGAUUGUAAUGUCUUCAGGGAUCACCUACAUUACACCAGGACUUCAUUCUUUCUACUGUU